GUCUACAUUUGGUUGAUAAUGCUCAACAUUUUUCUGGUGUGCAACAUGUGACAACCAAGGGGUAUUUGAGAGAGUUUGUGUACAAAUGUGUUGCACGAACUACAUGCUGCCACGUGGCUCUGUGGUCCUUUAGAGAGAAUGUUGUAUGUAUAUUCAUCGGCUGUAGUGACAAGAUCUUAUCCAUACUAGGGUUUUCAUUGAGCCUUCUUGAAAAAUUGUCUUUUCUGAAAAAGCUAAAGAGCUGAAAAAUGAGCUGCAAAAUGAAGAACUCUCGAGAGACCGAAUGAAGAUAAUUUUCUAAGAGUUUAAUCUGUCAAGAGAGCUGAAUUUAACCUGAGAAUAGCACUAGCAAGUGUAUAGAAUUUGAAGAUGAAGAGGGGAGCUGAUUGGUGUUGAUUUUCUGGUGUAAAGGGAGGCUAAGGAUGUCCAAAGCUGCUAUGGUCACUUCUGGAGCUUGAACAAGGUCUGAGCAUACAUAACUUGGUGAUUUACAAUUGCAGAAGGUGCUUAGGACUACAUCUUGAAGCUGGGUUUAUCUCCAAAAUGGAGUAAACGCAAAAUUUUAAAGGCUUUUAAUGAACAAGGUACUUGGCGAGUUACGGAACCCGGCAAAAUGGAUUUAAAGUCUAAGAUCAUACUCAGCUUGAGAAUGAAGUUAAGCCCAGAAAGCUAAGCAAGAAAGAGAAGUCAAAUAUGAAGGUCUCAGCCAUGCGUCCAGAUGCACUCUCCAAGUGCAUUCCGGGCGUCCGGACGCCCCUCAUAAACCAUAACUAACAAUUGAAGUUCUUAAGAAAAAUUAAAUUCCAGUAGCCAGCUAAAAAUACAUCCGGACAGCCAAUGCCACCAGCCCUGCUAGCCAGCGCCCAGCGCUUGCCAAGAGAGCACCUAGACACUCAGUGUCCGGACGCCUUUCCUGGCGUCCGGACGCAAAUCUGCGAAACUUUGAAAUAAUUUGAAAUUUCAGUUACUUUUCGCUCUUUUUCCUAUAUGAAUACACAAUUUUAUUGGGUUUUGAACUAAUUUCUGCCAUAGGGGGUUAUAUACACUUGUAUAGAGUUGUAUCACAUAUCAUAUAUAAUUGGAGAAUUCGAUUUUUAUAAGUUCUAGAGAGAGAAAGUGAGGAAUAGCUAGGGUUCUUGAGUGUUCUUGGGCAUGGCUGCCAUGGAGCUGAAGAUGGAGGCUUCCUCUUCGACCAUUGGGGCUUCUACCACCACCAGGAUGAGCUAAAUCCCAUUAUAGGGGAUUGAGGUAGCCUCGAUUAAGUAAUCAUGUAGUUUUGUAAUUUAAUUUAGGGAAAACUUUUGUAUGUGAUGAGUUUCAUGAAUAAAGAUGAUGAUGUAUUUUUCAAUUUGUA